rnacentral:lncRNA from 1 species
AAUAUUCAAAAUGUACACAUAAAUUAACAAAGUACAAUAAUAAAAUCCUAAUACAAGCCUAUUGUGGUGGUAGUGCCGGAGGAUAUGUUUCGAUAGCGUCCUAAUCGUCAACUUUAGCCGUCAAAGUGUCGACAGUUCCCAACAAAAAAAAAAUGGUCAAAUAACCACAAAAAAAAAAAGAAGGCAUAAUCUCCCCUAAAAUUGUUAUACCACAAAUCCAACCCAAACUCCAAUCCUCACCCUAUACUCAACCCCAAACCCC